GGAGCAUGUGGUUUAAUUCGAUGCAACGCGAAGAACCUUACCUACUCUUGACAUCCACAGAAUUCGGCAGAGAUGCCUUAGUGCCUUCGGGAACUGUGAGACAGGUGCUGCAUGGCUGUCGUCAGCUCGUGUUGUGAAAUGUUGGGUUAAGUCCCGCAACGAGCGCAACCCUUAUCCUUUGUUGCCAGCACGUAAUGGUGGGAACUCAAAGGAGACUGCCGGUGAUAAACCGGAGGAAGGUGGGGAUGACGUCAAGUCAUCAUGGCCCUUACGAGUAGGGCUACACACGUGCUACAAUGGCGUAUACAAAGAGAAGCGAACUCGCGAGAGCCAGCGGACCUCAUAAAGUACGUCGUAGUCCGGAUCGGAGUCUGCAACUCGACUCCNGAAGUCGGAAUCGC
rnacentral:rRNA from 1 species